AAGACCGGUGCCAGCCGCCGCGGUAACACCGGCAGCCCGAGUGGUGAUCACUAUUAUUGGGUCUAAAGGGUCCGUAGCCGGUUUAAUCAGUCUUCUGGGAAAUCUAAUCGCUUAACUAUUAGGCUUCCAGGGGAUACUGUUAGACUUGGGACCGGGAGAGGUAAGAGGUACUGCAGGGGUAGGAGUGAAAUCUUGUAAUCCCUGUGAGACCACCAGUGGCGAAGGCGUCUUACCAGAACGGGUCCGACGGUGAGGGACGAAAGCUGGGGGCACGAACCGGAUUAGAUACCCGGGUAGUCCCAGCUGUAAACGAUGCUCGUUAGGUGUCAGGAACGGUGCGACUGUUUCUGGUGCCGAAGGGAAGCCGUGAAACGAGCCACCUGGGAAGUACGGCCGCAAGGCUGAAACUUAAAGGAAUUGGCGGGGGAGCACUACAACGGGUGGAGCCUGCGGUUUAAUUGGACUCAACGCCGGAAAACUCACCGGGGGCGACAGCAAUAUGUAGGUCAGGUUAAAGGUCUUACCUGAAUCGCUGAGAGGAGGUGCAUGGCCGUCGUCAGUUCGUACUGUGAAGCAUCCUGUUAAGUCAGGCAACGAGCAAGACCCGUGCCCACUGUUACCAGCAUAUCCUUUAUGGAUGAUGGGGACUCUGUGGGGACCGCUGCUGCUAAAGCAGAGGAAGGUGCGGGCUACGGUAGGUCAGUAUGCCCCGAAUCUCCCGGGCUACACGCGGGCUACAAUGGUUGGGACAAUGGGUAUCUACUCCGAAAGGAGUUGGCAAUCUCUUAAACCCAAUCGUAGUUCGAAUUGAGGGCUGUAACUCGCCCUCAUGAAGCUGGAAUCCGUAGUAAUCGCGUUUCAACAUAGCGCGG
rnacentral:rRNA from 1 species